rnacentral:rRNA from 1 species
GACGAACGCUGGCGGCGUGCUUAACACAUGCAAGUCGAACGGUGAAGGAAGAGCUUGCUCUUCCGGAUCAGUGGCGAACGGGUGAGUAACACGUGGGCAACCUGCCCCUGACUCUGGGAUAACUCCUCGAAAGAGGUGCUAAUACCGGAUACGACCACUUCGGACAUCCGAUGGUGGUGGAAAGUUUUUCGGUCAGGGAUGGGCCCGCGGCCUAUCAGCUAGUUGGUGGGGUAAUGGCCUACCAAGGCGACGACGGGUAGCCGGCCUGAGAGGGCGACCGGCCACACUGGGACUGAGACACGGCCCAGACUCCUACGGGAGGCAGCAGUGGGGAAUAUUGCGCAAUGGGCGAAAGCCUGACGCAGCGACGCCGCGUGAGGGAUGAAGGCCU